AGAGUAAGUUGAAUAGUCGCAUACUCUAUGUAUGAGGAAAGUCCGAGCUUCAUAGAGCAAAAUGCCGGAUAACGUCCGGUGGAGGCGACUCCAAGGCAAGUGCAACAGAAAUAAACCGCCUAUUUUUAGUAGGUAAGGGUGGAAAGGCGAGGUAAGAGCUCACCAAAAGGCAGGCGACUGUCUUGUUGUGUAAACCCCAUUUGAAGCAAGACCAAGUAGGAUAUAAUAAGAAAUUGCUCGUUUCUAUCCGUAGGUAGGUCGCUAAAUAUCAUAGGCGACUGUGAUAGUAGAUAGAUGACUAUUUUAAACAGAACUCGGCUUAUAGAUUUGCUCUACUA
rfam:Peptoanaerobacter stomatis strain OBRC8 ctg120007290632, whole genome shotgun sequence.